UAAGACACAGAGAGGCAGCUCAUGAUGAAAGGGGCUUUUCAGGGAAGGUGUUUAGAGAUCUUACUAGAAAAGAGGGUUAGGAAAGGUCUUCCUGGAGGUAGCAGAUUCUGAGAGUGUUAUUAGUGCAAAGGCCUAGGAAGAUCAGUCCCAGUGAAAGGCCCUUAGUAGAUGGUGGUAAGCAGUGCAGGUUGUUGAGGAACUACAUGCUGCUUCAGAAGAGACUAUAGCUGUUUGGCAUCUGCAUGGGUCCUGAGUCCAGGAACACCUUCCCAGCUGAAGCUUGGUACUUUGGACUCGUGGGAGGCUGGGUUCUGUUCUGCACAUCAGUGGGCACAGCCCAGAACAGGGGCUUCAGUGGGGGAAAGGCAACUUAAUGCCAUCUCUGUGCUGCCCAAAUGUUGAGCUGUUCCAGGGACCAGUGAGGCUCUUGGGAUCAUGUCCUCAUUGUGAGCACCAUCAUCAACAGUGUGAGCAAUGCACUGUGGGUCAGUAUCCCACAGUGCAGUGUUGUGGGAAGACGAAGCUGAUCCCAGCGUAUUUUGAGAGGAUUCCCUCUGAGUUCUCCCACAGCCGACUCAGCCCUGCAUAUAUGUAAAGUUAGUACAGCAUUAUGGAAGACUUUGGGAUAAAAAG